rnacentral:lncRNA from 1 species
UGUCAUAUAUUUUUUAAGAACAUGUCAUUUUCAACAUAUACUUCAAUAGGUUUUUCUUUUCCUUGAAGUAAAGACGUUAAUGUUUGUUUUCUCAUAGAGAUAAAUAGCUGAAUGAGUUGUUCAAAAAAAAAAAAAAAAAGCUCAAUGUACGUAUUUCUAUGCAAUUCUAAUGCUUUUCCAGUAAGUUACAUAUAUAUAUAUAUUAAAUUCAAUAAAAUGUAAUUAGCAAUUGUCAAUGAUUAAUUCAUAUUAAAAACUAGUAGAUAACUACAUAUAUUGCAUAUCAUAAAAAGCUCUUUGGAUGUAUAUUGAACUAACAAGAUAAUACUAUUGAUACAAACACAAAAAAAUGCUAUAAUUAUCACUAUUUUUAAUUGAUUAAACUUCCAAGUUUUUC